GGAAUAUUGGUCAAUGGGCGAGAGCCUGAACCAGCCAAGUAGCGUGCAGGAUGACUGCCCUAUGGGUUGUAAACUGCUUUUAUACGGGGAUAAAGUCAGGGUCGUGACCCUGUUUGCAAGUACCGUAUGAAUAAGGACCGGCUAAUUCCGUGCCAGCAGCCGCGGUAAUACGGAAGGUCCGGGCGUUAUCCGGAUUUAUUGGGUUUAAAGGGAGCGCAGGCGGAAGGUUAAGCGUGACGUGAAAUGUACCGGCUCAACCGGUGAUGUGCGUCGCGAACUGGCUUUCUUGAGUGAGUACGACGCUGGCAGAAUUCGUGGUGUAGCGGUGAAAUGCUUAGAUAUCACGAAGAACUCCGAUUGCGAAGGCAGCCGGCGAGUCCUCAACUGACGCUAAUGCUCGAAAGUGCGGGUAUCGAACA
rnacentral:rRNA from 1 species